rnacentral:misc_RNA from 1 species
AAGGAGUCUACCAUCUAUGCGAGUGUUCGGGUGUCAAACCCCUACGCGUAAUGAAAGUGAACGUUGGUUGGAGCUUCGGCGCACCAUCGACCGAUCCUGAUGCCCUCGGAUGGAUUUGAGUAAGAGCAUAGCUGUUGGGACCCGGAAGAUGGUGAACUAUGCCUGAAUAGGGUGAAGCCAGAGGAAACUCUGGUGGAGGCUCGCAGCGGUUCUGACGUGCAAAUCGAUCGUCAAAUUUGGGUAUAGGGGCGAAAGACUAAUCGAACCAUCUAGUAGCUGGUUCCCGC